CUCAUUUAUCUUUCAGAGUUCCCGGCCAAUGCAUGAGAACACUCCCUCCAUUGGCUUCCUGGCCUCCCUUCCCACUUUCCCGCUCCUCCACAGGUAUUUCCAGGGACCCCUUCCCAAACAGACUACUUGUGCUGGAAUCUUUGUCUCGGUGCCUGCUUCUGGGAGAAUCUAAACUUGCCAUGAAAACCAAACGAGUAGAAACUUUCAAGAUGUUCCCUCCAGGCACGAAACCAAGGAGAAUGGCCUUGAACCAGACUUCUGGGGGGCAGGGAGGAAGAGCCCUCAAGAAGCCAUAUGGUGGAGCAACAAAGUGGACACAUGCUGUGUACCAAGCCAGGGUGUGGACACAGGCAUUUGCUCAUGUCAUCGGGGAACUGGCGCCAGUGGCUGAGACCUCAAACCCUAGGCUUUCAAGGUUCUCCUGGGAAGGAACGCUUCCCUUGCUCAGCAGAGUUCUGAAGGCAUCCUCAUGGACCAGCAGAAGGGGAGCAGGAAGAAGUAUGGAAAAGAAU